rnacentral:tRNA from 1 species
CACUAAGAAGCUUACCAGGGCCAAGCGCCAGCCUUUUAAGCUGGAGACCGGUGAUUCCCGACCACCCUAAGUGA